GCUGGGCAUGGUGGUGCAUGCCUGCAGUCCCAGCUACUCAGGAGGCUGAGGUGGGAGAACUGCUUGAGCCCAGGAGUUCUGGGUUGUAGUGCACUAUGCCAAUCGGGUGUCCGCACUAAGUUCGGCAUCAAUAUGUGACCUCCUGGGAGCCAGGAACCACCAGGUUGCCUAAGGAGGGGUGAACCGGCCCAGGUCAGAAACGGCACAGGUCGAAACUCCUGUGCUGAUCAGUAGUGGGAUCGCGCCUGUGAAUAGCCACUGCACUCCAGCCUGGGCAACAUAGCAAGACCCUGUCUCA
rnacentral:SRP_RNA from 1 species